rnacentral:rRNA from 1 species
GACGAACGCUGGCGGCGUGCCUAAUACAUGCAAGUUGAGCGAUGAAGAUUGGUGCUUGCACCAAUUUGAAGAGCAGCGAACGGGUGAGUAACGUGUGGGGAAUCUGCCUUUGAGCGGGGGACAACAAUUGGAAACGAAUGCUAAUACCGCAUAACAACUUUAAACAUAAGUUUUAAGUUUGAAAGAUGCAAUUGCAGCACUCAAGGAUGAACGCGCGUUGUAUUAGCUGGUUGGUGGGGUAAAGGCUCACCAAGGCGUGGAUGGAUAGCCGGACUGAGAGGGUGACCGGCCACAUUGGGAAUGAGAUAGGGCCCAGACUCAUACGGGAGGAAGGAGUGGGGAAUAUUGCACAAUGGGCGGAAGCAUGAUGCAGCAACGCCGCGUGCGGGAUGACGGACUUCGGGUUGGAAACCGAUUUCGCCUGUGACGAAGCGUGAGUGACGGUAAUGGGUAAAGAAGCACCGGCUAACUACGUG